AUUGAACGCUGGCGGCAGGCCUAACACAUGCAAGUCGAGCGGAUGAAGGGAGCUUGCUCCUGGAUUCAGCGGCGGACGGGUGAGUAAUGCCUAGGAAUCUGCCUGGUAGUGGGGGAUAACGUCCGGAAACGGGCGCUAAUACCGCAUACGUCCUGAGGGAGAAAGUGGGGGAUCUUCGGACCUCACGCUAUCAGAUGAGCCUAGGUCGGAUUAGCUAGUUGGUGGGGUAAAGGCCUACCAAGGCGACGAUCCGUAACUGGUCUGAGAGGAUGAUCAGUCACACUGGAACUGAGACACGGUCCAGACUCCUACGGGAGGCAGCAGUGGGGAAUAUUGGACAAUGGGCGAAAGCCUGAUCCAGCCAUGCCGCGUGUGUGAAGAAGGUCUUCGGAUUGUAAAGCACUUUAAGUUGGGAGGAAGGGCAGUAAGUUAAUACCUUGCUGUUUUGACGCUACCAACAGAAUAAGCACCGGCUAACUUC
rnacentral:rRNA from 1 species